CACACUAUACUCUUACACUACACACUAUAUUCUUACACUACACACUAUAUUCUUACACUACACACUAUACUUUUUCACUACACACUAUACUUUUUCACUACACACUAUACUUUUACACUACACACUAUACUCUUACACUACACACUAUACUCUUACACUACUCACUAUACUCUCACACUACUCACUAUACUCUUACACUACACACUAUACUCUCACACUACACACUAUACUCUCACACUACUCACUAUAUUCUUACACUACUCACUAUACUCUUACACUACACACUAUAUUCGUACACUACUCACUAUACUCUUACACUACACACUAUAUUCAUACACUACUCACUAUACUCUUACACUACACACUAUACUUACACUACACACUAUACUCUUACACCACUCACUAUACUCUUACACUACACACUAUAUUCUUACACUACACACUAUACUUUUCACUACACACUAUAUUCUUACACUAUACUCUUACACUACACACUAUAUUCUUACACUACACACUAUACUCUUACACUACACACUAUAUUCUUAAACUACACACUAUACUUUUUCACUACACACUGUACUCUUACACUACACACUAUUCUCUUACACUACACACUAUACUCUCACACUACACACUAUAUUCUUACACUACACACUAUACUCUUACACCACUCACUAUACUCCUACACUACACACUAUAUUCUUACACUACACACUAUACUCUCACACUACACACUAUAUUCUUACACUACACACUAUACUCCUACACUAAACACUAUAUUCUUACACUACACACUAUAUUCUUACACUACACACUAUACUCUCACACUACACACUAUACUCUUACACGACACACUAUAUUCUUACACUACACACUAUACUCUUACACUACACACUAUAACAUUUCACUGCACAUUAUACUUUUUUACUGCACACUAUAAGUCUACACAAUAUACAAUUGCACCACACACUAUACUGUUACACUACGGCUAUACUCUUUCACUACAAACUAUACAAUUACACCAAACACUAUACUUUUACACUCCACACUAUACUCUUACAUAACACAAUAAACUCUUAUGCUAUUUACUGCCAC
ensembl:lncRNA